rnacentral:lncRNA from 1 species
CGAGCCUCUGUAAGUGAGUGGGCAAAAAUAGUGGAAGGAAAAGAAUCAGGAUCUGGUGGAGGGAGGGCACUGUGAGCAUGAGAAGUACCACGACCACCUUAUAUGUGGUGCCUCUCUCUGUCUCCUGGCCGAAGACCCGUGUCAGGGUGGAACCAGAUUCCUGGUCAUACAGAAGAACUGCCUAAAAGUAAGACUCCAGCUUGUGUUUGGGCACAAAUUGCUUCAAGGGGAAGUGAUUUCUAGCGAAGCCCUAGAAUGAGUUGAAAUCAAAAUUAGGAGCAUAAAUCCAACUGGCUCUUUUGCAUUGGGCCAGUUCAUCUGCACAUCAUCGCCUGGUACUUCUCCAUUUGAAGACAAAAGUGGACUUGGAGCUUGCGACAAGAAUUCACUCCCUCCUCGGGGAGCACCAUGGAAGAGCAGAGACACAGGCUUUUGAACCAGACCCCAGCUCCUGCCAGGAGCCAGCCCGUUGCCGUGCUUGUCACUGACUAACUGACUACCUGGGCGAUUCCAGCCGCGUGUGCGCUUCCCCAGCUGUGGGAGACGCACUUCACCUUGUGGCUCCGCCCUCCAAAGGUUACGUUUGCCGCAUGGAAGAACCGUUGACUCUGCCGAUCGGGAACGUUUCAUUGCACCCCUUUUCCACGCCAUCUGUCUGACCUGGACCCAUUCCAAGCACUACGGCUUUGCUGGCAGAAUGGUCUUCCUGCUACAGAAGUUUUGUAAUCUGCUAAUUGACAGGGCAUCCCGUUUGUGCACGAUCACGCGCUCUCCCCUGCGUUCUCUGCCUCAUUGAGAAUAUGGCAUCCUUCGGAGAAGAACACCGAUAUGAUCCACCAGAGAAUUAUCCUCUACUUAGUUUACUCAUUAAGCAAUGAUUUUAUUAUUAUUAUCUCUUUGUAGUAGGAGACAGAUGGCAAAGAAGGAGUUUGCUUUACUGAACAAGACACAGUGUUGGGCAUGGCAAAUCUCCUGAAUGGUUAAUAUCUCCGGUCGUCAUUCUGCCUAAUGAGUGUCUUUGCUGUUGUGCAAGGCCUGGUCCUACACUCAGCUCUUAAUUUAAGUGCAAAGUUGUUA